GGCACCAGCACGAAGAACAGGGUCAGCCCGAAGCAGCCGUAGUCCCCCUUGCGGUAGUAGUCGAGGGCCAGCCACAGUGGUGAAUCAAGCCAGGUGAUGUCCUAGAGGUCUACAAGCAAAUUCUCUAGAUACGCAGUAAAGACAUAUACCAAGAAGAGGGCAUAAUGUGUACAGAGGCAAGAACAUGAAAGAGCAGCGGGCCGUGAAACUGUGCAGAUUGUUUAUAGUAUUGAGCGUGUAAAGGAGAGGAAGAUGGCUUUAACUUACUUGCAAAUUCUUCAAGUGUUCGCCAUCAGAUAAGCUCAGAAGUGGGCAGUGGGCACACGGAGCCACGGACAAGGGGCCACAUGUUGACCAGGAGCUUGCAAGAACAAGAAUCCAGAAAUACCGUUCUGAUCUUGGGUCCUUUCUCAGCAGACAUUUUGCUUCAGAGGCAACUGGGAGCCCCAGAAGAAAAACACCGCAGGCAACAGCCAGCCUCCCACCCCCACGGUUUCUCCAGCCCUGCCUAAGGAGUCACAGUAAUGUUUGCGAUUAGCGAGGCAGCCUCUUGGCGGAGAGCGCAGAGCGCGGGCACGGUGUGUUCCCUCAUUAAUGCAAGCAGACUCCUGUGGAGGAGAGUCACGAACCAGCCUACAGAACAUCACCAAAAUGAACACUCCCAUGAAGCGUGCUAGUGAGAAGCAGCAGACUGUAAGGACAAGAAGAAUGUAGAGGCUGCAAGGCGAGGCUUUCUGGUGUCCAGUCUGAGUCACCCUGCGAUGAGCUGUCUGUG